GCCCUGGUGGCACAACUUUCAAGCCCUUGGCUGCUAACCAAAAAGUUGGUGGUUCGAACCCACCCAGUGGCU
rnacentral:tRNA from 1 species